rnacentral:tRNA from 1 species
AGACUAUUAGUCCAAUGCAAGACUUCUGAUUUCGACCCAGAAAACUAUGGUUCAAGUCCAUAAUUGUCUU